rnacentral:snRNA from 1 species
ACAAAGACAGCAGCGCUUACACAGAGCAUUCAGAGAAUUUUUGGAGGCUCUGGUAAUGUAAGUAUAAACCAGUGCCA